AGAUAUAGCAGUUGUUUUUAUUUGUUUAAGAAUAAAUUCAAAAUUCAGAAUUAUAAUUGUAUACUCUUAUAAGAGAAAACACAAUCAGAUUCAUUUUAUAUAAAAUAUAUUGUGCUAAUUUAUACACUUUUUGAUCCCUAAUAAUAAAUACAACUCUGUUAGAUGCCUUAAAAGAAAUCUUUACAUUGCUUAGAGAACGUUAAAUAUCAAUUGUGUAUUUAAAUUUUCUACUUAUAUGACAGUAUGCUAUUUUUCCUUAACUUUGGGUAAAUAAUUUUAUGGUGUGAUUAAACCGAUCUGACAUUUUGAAAAAGGGCAUGUUUUUUAAUGAAAUAUAAAAGAGUUGUAAUUUUAGUUAUUCACUGUUGCACAAACCUACUUUUUUGGCUUCAUUUGCAAAAGGUUGUUGGAUAACCUUUAUCUUUUACCACUAACUUCUUACUCUGAUCCAAAAUAUUUGGCUUUUAAAAUUCUCCUUAUUUCAUUAUUUGUCUUCAUAUUUAAAAUAUCUUCUGUGAUAUUUCACUUCUAAUUUUUUAAUAUUUUUACAUAAAAAGAGAUGAAUACUGAUAUCCCUGAUUUUUAAGAGAGGAUUUUAAUUUGGAAAUAAACAUGCGAUAAUAUGAUUUUAAAAUGCUAAAGUGGAGCUCUAGCAAUUCAACUGAAAAUAGCAUUAUGAAUAAACUAUACUGUGGCAACUCUUUAACAUAAUAAAGGAGGACAUCAACAGAGCAGAAAAUUGAUGAAUUUUGGAAUAUAUGAAGCAUGUUGUAUCAAAUUGCCAGAGAAAGUAAUGAUCUUCUGUUACUGAACUUAGGUCACAAAGCCUACUGCCUGCUAAUCGGCAAGUGGACCUGUUUCUCUAACAAUGGCCCGAAACUUCACAACAUCAAAGGAGAAAUCAUUGCCAGCAAAAGCAUUUCCGGGUAGUAGGA
rnacentral:lncRNA from 1 species